AAUUUAUUUUAAUGUGGUGGGUCCAUCUCAUUUCCAUCCUAAAGCACUGGAGAGCAGCACAGGAAACCGAGGUGUCCAGCAACAUGUAUUUUCAUCUAGUUCAUGAGGUUUGUACCAUGUAGUUGGAGGACAGGAAGGCAGUACCUGUAAGUUAGGGAGAAAUGAAAAGCACAGGCCCACCGGUUUGACAGCAUCAGUACUCAGGGCGUUAACAUGAAUUUUCAAAGAAAUGCUAAAAAUGUAAUAGUAAGUGAAAACUUCCUAACAGCAGCUCUUUAUUUAGAUUUUUGAUAGUGAAGCACACAGGAAAUAUCCAGAGAGGACAACAGAGUUGUCAGAACUGCAAAACCCCUGUGGCCAAAGCGGAGGCAGUAACAGACCCUUUGAAAAAUGGAAUGUUGAGUCAGAAGGAAGAAAUUUCUGAAGGACCUGUGGCGGGGGGAAGAUGCUAUUUAAAGCUUUCUCUGCUGACCGUAAUACAAAAAAACAGAGCUAGUCUAUGAAAUUUGUCAGAGACAAAUUUAAGAUGUGUCACCAGGGAAGAGGAGGAUGGAUUAUUGAACAGUAAGAAACAGAUGACGUGAAGGACUGGGGAAGCAGCAGUGGGAUAUAAUCUGCUACUACGUAUUUUGAGGACAUGCUCCCGAGAACUAAUACAAGAACUGCUGGUGAGGCCCCAUGGUACAGCACAUGGAAGCGAGGGAGGUGGAGGAGAGCCCUCUGCUUUCUUCCAGGAUGGUAAACAAGCAGCAGUGCUUUUCCUUGUUACAACUUCCAACAGGCAAAGCCAGUACCUAGCCAGCAUCUUGCACAGGUUUAGCUCACAAGUAAAGGGGGCUAGCAAAUACCAGAAGAAAAAUAAAAGGGACCACGGUCUAGAAAAAAAAAACAAAAGGGUUUUAAGUUUUAGUGCUAAAACAUAUUAAUCAUUUUUACAGGCAAAAUAGCUUCCAUGAAGGCACUGGAGAAAAGGACUCAGUGGAGUUAUUACUGGGCUCAAUCAAGAUGAGACCGUAUAAAAAAUAAAUGCUCCUCAGUGGGACAUGCUACAACCAGCAACAGCAAUUCCACUUCUGUCUGCAUCACGGCACCUUUCAAAAAGAAGAGAUGUCAGCAAAACAUCACAACUGUCUCAGAACCAAGAGCAAAUUACCAUUCAAAGCUCAAGGCCUACAACUGGAUCCGAGACUGAGGAGAGGCCACUUA